AGGCUUUCUGCCCCCUGAGAACGUGUGCGCAGAAAGGAUGAACCCAUCCCGAGCCGUGCGCCCCUUCCCCUGUCCUCCUCCACCUUGCCUGGGCUCCGCCUCCUCCUCCUCUCUCUCUCUUCUGCGCCAACGGCCACUCCCUCGUUGCUGGACCCCGCCCUGCUUCGCCUCCGCCAGCCUCUUCCUCCUUGCCGUCGACGGCAGCGGUGUGAACUGGAGCAGCGGCCGCGACUAGAUGUGAUGAGUUGACUGGGCUGGUUCCACGCUGAGGAACGGACCCCCUCGACACCAUCCUCUGCGGCGCUACUCUGCUGCCUCCGUUUGUCACAGUUAAGGUUUGUGAUCUCUUCUGUAUUCCGCUUUCCAGGAGUUCUUGCCUUCAACGCUGAGGUGGAAUGGCUCUUCCCAUACUUGUCUCGCGAAGGUGGGGCUCGAAGAAGUAUGGCCCUGAUGCGCUAGGUUUGUCAUUUUUGUCAGCAUCCGCUUCCUUCGUUGGUUGUCGCUUGUUUGUACAUUGUUGUAGUUCAGAGACGCCACCCAAUUUGCUAAUAUAAUUGUUCAGUGCUCUCUCACAGCGAUUCUUACAAAAUUAUCAUGCAUACAGUUACCUGUUUAAGUAGAAUAUAAGCACUGUGUUAUUCAAAUGCAGAUUCUUUUGUAACUCAAGAGGUUAUAUUUUAAUUGCAUGCACUUACUUUAGCUUAGGGGUUCAUCUGUACGGGAGCACAUCAUUGGAGAGAAAGAUCAUGAUCAAAGGAAAUAGGUUUCAGCUUUCAGGCUCAUGCGCCUGUUUUCCUUUUUCCUUUUGAUGGGGCCGUUCAGGUGAGGUGAAGCAAGCAAGCACCUCCCCGUGUUUUAUAUAUUCUAGGAUAUUAACAUUUGCAGCCAUACGUUGGUUUCAAUAGUGACAGAUUUUUGUCAAUCCCACAGAGAUAAUUUAAUUCGAGACUAGCAAAUACAUUGAGAUCGAGGAGAGAGCGAGCCAUUGCAGAGGAGAGGGGAUACGAGGAUGGGCGGAGGUCAGGCCUUGCUAACAGAUUUGUGGCGGAGUGGGAGAGGUGACCCCGGCCGGCCGGCGCCUCACCACCGGCUCCUGUUUGGCGGUGGCAAAGAGAAGGGUGCCGAGGAUGUGUUGCUCUAUGCAUGGGUGACGAAGUACAUCCUCGUUAUGAUGUGUAUGGUUUCUCUAUUUUCAGCCCUACUGCUCUUGAGCCCAAAUCCCAUGACCAUCCCCCCACCUCUCCUUCGUUGAAUGAAGGGAGUCUGGUUGCUAAAAAGUAUGGAAUUUUAAUUUGAUAGUCCGAACAACGGUGGGUAUUGAUGGAGCAAUCUACAUCUUUACAUGAUAAGCUGACACCUAAUAAGGAUCAGGAGAACAACAGAGAUGCUAAGAGGCAACCUUUUGGGGUUAAGGAUAUCAACAACAACAGGGCUUAUGAGGCCGAAGAGAGCUCGGGUGGCGUCUUUUGGUACUUGAAGCCCUGCAUGUUCCUGGUGUAGUAGCAGCAAAAUAAUUUGGAGGCUUUAAAGCUACUGCACUUCAUGUAGUUAGGAUCAAUUCUUUGUUUAGGUUUGAAAUAUUCCCCUGUUCCUCCUAUUUGAUUGAUUCAUCUGAUGGACAUUUUGUCAGGCAAAUAAACAAAAGGUAUAUGUAUUGUUCAAGAAAUUCAAGAAACAGAGAAAUGCUAUUGUUCUUCUACUAA